GGGGCUGACCGGCAUUGACAGCAUCGUUCUUUGAAAGUAAGCAUGCCGAGCAUUGGAAGCCAAGCUCGUUAAUCAUCAACUUCCGACGCCAUAAUUGGCAACUAUCAAAUGUCAAUGGCUGCUUAAUCGCAAAGCGGUUAAAGCCAUUAGUUCCCUGCAGGCCACGUGCUGCCGCCUGCAACCGGAACUUCAUCAUGCAGCGCUGGUUCUUGACCGCUGAUUGUUAAGAGCGAGAAACUACAUCAGCUAAGAGCAUAUGUUGGUUGUCUUUUACCAAGUGUGCUCCGAAAACCAAUAAAAGAAUAAGCAUGUAGAAAGCUUUCGAUGGCUUUGUCUGGACCAGGGUUCGAUUCCCUGCAGCUCCACCA
rnacentral:tmRNA from 1 species